UACAAAAACAAAACAAACAAAAACAAACAAAAAACCACAAAAACAAAAACAAAAACAAAACAAAAAAAUCACCACCCAAAAACAACCCACAACAAAAACACAAUGAUUGCUACUAACUUAGCACACGACCGUCUAUGCACCGAAUAUACAUUGUGCAUGGUAUUAAAGAAAGUACUUACCUCACAGAAAGGCCGAUAUCUCAGGAAAAACUGGAAAGCCCCGGGUCUAUUUUGCGUUUUAAAAUAGAUAAUACGGGAAAGCUGUCAGCCAAAUAUUGGGAAAAAGCACAUAGUCCUUUAUAGCGGAGUUCCCAGAGGCGCUUUAUACAGCUCAGUUUGAACAGAAUUUGGGACAUGGGGAACACACAGACAUCCUCUUCGGCAACUCUCAGCUACAACGGCACCACCGUGUCCGCCAACGCUACAGGAUCCCACACAUCAAGGGUGGCCACAUCAACCACGAGGCCGAACGGAUUUACAGCAGUCGAUCUAGCGGUCUCGAACGACAGUGUCACUGCCUCCUGUGUAGAUGUGCAAGUAUUUGAGCGAAGACUGGUUUUGGAUAGCUGUCAUUCCUAGGAGUUAAUGCUUUACAAAUAACACUUAAAAUUCGAGUUUACCAAGGCUAACAGUGUAAACAAUGGCACAUUCUGAGAUAUUUAAUCGAGAGCUAUAAAUGUAUUGUGGUCUCAUGUCCUCUGUCCUCUUUGUUCUUAAAGGAACAGACCCUAGUUUCAGCCCACGAAAAUGCACACUAAGUUUAGUUAAUCUACAAACCUGUGACACAUUUGGAUAAAGUCUGUGACUUUGAAACGGUGAAACACCCUCUAAAAAUAGACACUAAAACUCGACUCCAUAACUGUUAUUCCUUACCUGCUACACAAAGAGGAACAUUUUGUUUAAAUUAUUGAUUCCCCCCAUAAUAAAUUUAUGCAUUAAUAUGAA